UACGUAGGUGGCGAGCGUUGUUCGGAUUCAUUGGGCGUAAAGGGUCCGCAGGUGGUUUGAUAAGUCUGACGUGAAAUACCGGAGCUCAACUCCGGAACUGCGUUGGAGACUGUUGAACUAGAGUAUCGGAGAGGAAAUUGGAAUUCCAGGUGUAGCGGUGGAAUGCGUAGAUAUCUGGAAGAACAUCGAAAGCGAAGGCAGAUUUCUGGACGAUUACUGACACUCAGGGACGAAAGCAUGGGGAGCAAACAGG
rnacentral:rRNA from 1 species